rnacentral:lncRNA from 1 species
AUGAAGAGCUGCUGUGCCGAGACGCUGGCAAAACCGCUGCGGCGGCCACAAGAGUCACGCUGGCAACCCGUGGGGCUCCUCCACUGGGAAUCGGCUGAACGCCAGUUCCUGUAUUGUGAGCUGCCCUACAAAGAAAAACUCAUGGAAAGGAACCAAGAGAAGCCUCAGACCAACAACCCAUGAGGAAUUGAGACCCUUAGUCCAACAGCCCAUGAAGAACUGAAUCCUGCCAACAAGAUGAGUGAGCUUAGAAGCGAACCUGUCCCCAGGUAAGCCUUGAGAUGCCCAGAACCAGAGGAUACACCUAUGCUGUUCCCACAGUCUUGACCCAAUGACACUAUGAGAUAAUAAAUUUUUUUUUUUUUUGAGACGGAGUUUCGCUCUUGUUACCCAGGCUGGAGUGCAAUGGCGCACUCUCGGCUCACCGCAACCUCCGCCUCCUGGGUUCAGGCAAUUCUCCUGCUUCAGCCUCCUAAGUAGCUGGGAUUACAGGCACACACCACCAUGCCCAGCUAAUUUUUUGUAUUCUUAGUAGAGACGGGGUUUCACCAUGUUGACCAGCAUGGUCUCGAUCUCUUGACCUUGUGAUCCACCCCCUCAGCCUCCCAAAGUGCUGGGAUUAAAGGCUUGAGCCACAAUAAAUGUUUUAAGACCUUAAGUUUUAGAGAAAAUUUUUACACAGCAAUAGAUAACUAAUACAGUGUCCCAUCCAAAAGAUCAAUUUCAACCUCAGCCUUGCCCCUUUUUCUUUGGCCUCAAGGGAGUGAACAAAUCACAAACAUCACACAGACUUCUGAGAACUAAGACUUUAACUUGCUCUUUUAAAUCCUAGAUUCAGGUCUGUUCUGUAUCCUGUUAUUUACAUGCAGACCUCCAGUAGUUCCAUCAAAUCCUUGUGCAAGUAUUUAAACAAAUUCAAAACCGCGGCUUGGGAAAACAACCACCACAGGAACAACAGCCAGACUUUCUCUUUUUGCAGUGUAUUGCCUGUAUAUGAGUCAGGAAAUAACUUACAAUUUUUAAUUUCCUUAGUAAAAUACUAGUGAUGCUGUCUUCAUUUAAAAACUUAAGCAUCUCCUUGCAAUCAGCAGCACAGGGCACGUGCAUGGAAGGACUUCAAUCUGAAUUUGACAGUUAUGUAUUGCUCAUUAAAAGUCCUGCUGAGAAAAUUGGUAUGCCAGUUUAGAGAAGUUGAACCUUUUAUUUUUAUCAGAUUUUUAAGGCUUUAUCAUGAUAUCAAAGCAUACCAUGAGCUAGCCACCUACUGGAAUUGAUUACUCUGAUUCUCGGUAUAAGUGCCUUGACAAGACUGCAAUUUAAAUGUAUUCCCUAAACUUUGAAAUAAAGAAUGGCCAUCAAUAGAGUUAUAGCGAUGAGCUUUUGUUAUGUCAUGUUCAAUGACACCAUCAGUUUGUUGUUUACUGUAUGUACAUUAUGAUAAAUUUUUCUUAGUUCAAAACUAUGAAAUAGUUGUAUUUCUCUGGUAAACUGGUAUAUGUUUUUUUAAUAAACAAUAAGAAGCAUUUAACAUACUAACUUUUUCGUUUUGCUUUGGCUGCUGGGAAAUAUGGUUAUUUUAUGAGCAAUUAUAGUAACUACCCUUAGCUUAAGUUGGUUACUACAUCUCUUUUUGGCUCCAUAUUUUAGUACUUGUUUAAUUUUCUUUUUAUUUGUUUGUAGUUUUAUAUUGUUUUGAGUCCUUUAUAUUUCAAACUAUAACAUCUUGGUAAGUUAGGUGGUGAAAUGCUGCCCCUUUAACAUUUGAGAAAAGGUCUUACUAACUUAAACAAGGAAUCAAUUAAUUCUCUCUUUCUUUCUUUUUCUUUCUCUCUCUCUCUUUCUUUCUUUCAUCGUAAAAACCUUUUCACAGAGGAUUAAAAACAUUCCUUUUAGAAUUUUAUAACUUAAUAAGUAGGUCUAUCUUAUUUUUUACAUCCAUGUUAUUGAGUAAAAUCUCACAGCUGAAGGCGUGAGAUCCUGGCUUUGCCAGGGAGAGUUGGACCUGGAAGUGAGCCAAGUGAGGCUGCAGCUGGUGCGGGUCCACCUUCUGCACAGAGCAGCGGUGGGAAUGGUCAUCUUUGAAGGAAAACAUGAUGGAGCCUGUUGUGUCCAGUUCUGGUUCUUUGGUGAGUAUUGUCCUUGCUUGGGUAACUCCUUAGUUCGUACCUCUGGCCCUGUCAGUGAUUCUAUGACACUGACAUAGUGUCCUGUAACAAAAGUUUAUUUCUGCUUGGAUUUUAUUGUGUGCAACUAAGAACCCUGAGAAACACAGGCUUACAAACGCACGUACCUUCAGGGGCUAGUCAAAUAGCAAAAAUGACUGAUGUGGGUCAAUAUAAGCACCAGGGAACAGUGAGACAGAGGGGAGGAGGGAAGUGCAUGCCCCACCUCAGGGCACUUCAAUUCAACUUUUCUAAAACAUUCUUUUCAUCAAAACUAACUUGGUAACAUCUAUGCGCUAAAUUUAGCUUAUGAGGCAUCCAGUUUGUGACCUUUGACACCAAAUUUUUUUUUAUUGGAGUUUAAAAAAAAUUUUGAAUUUAGGGAAUUCUUUGCUUGCCUUUUUUUAAAAUGAAGUUUGCACUUUCCAUCUAAAUAUUUUGCCAUCUUAGCAGCAUGGUUGUGAAUCUGUAGAUGCCCUGGAGUUCCUAAGAGAUUCUCUUGUGCUGAUUUACCUUAUGGAGAGGACAAUCAUGAUCCCAAGUAAGGAGAAAGGAAUAAUCCUGGAUGCUGCUGGCCAAUAGCAGCAAUGCUUUUUCAGGAGGUCAUCUCACCUUUAUCACAGAGAAUAGACUGCCAAGAAAACCCUGUGUUUUAAGUGUCUUUUAAUGUCCCAAACAGUUCCUGACUUUUAACAGCUUUUAGAGCAGCCACAAAACUGGAAGCCUAGCUAACAUUUCAAUCCUGGGAUAUAGCAGAAAUGGAAGUUCUGUGGCAAGUGACGUGUCUGAAAAUUGCAUUGGAAAGAGUGAUCAUUAGGAGGACUGUUGGCCCGUUUCCAGAGUGGCAGGUGUCUGGGAUGACAUUCAGGGGAAACUCAUCUAUUUCAUCCUUCCCCUCGAGAGCUGCUUAGCUUUAGCCCUUAAAGCAGCGAGAUUCAGCACCUAACUCUCUGUGUUUCAUGCAGAGAGAGGCAGUGCUUUAAGCCAACAUUUCAUUUGUAGUUUGAAAACUGUAUUUGGAUUGCAUUCUGUUUUGUGAUUCAUGUAUACAUUGCCUCGUUCCUUUUCACCGGAACGCCACAUCUAUGGGACUCAUUAUCUCUAAUAGAGCUUUUAGCUCUCUCAGGGUUAUGUGGUUUCAAAGUAUUACAAACUCAUUCAUGUCAUUCUAAUUUAAACACGAUGUUGUUAUUCCUGCAUCUAUUUUAUGAGCUACCCUUCUGCUUCCUUUUCUACUUAUUGGGUGUUAUGGGAAGUGGAAGAUAGUAUUCCAAUCAUCUGUGGAGCUAAGAGUUUGGGUAAUUGCAUUUGACAAAUGUUGAAACCCUAUCCCCCAAAUACUUGCAACACUUUCUUUCCUGACACCAGCAAUAAUGAAAAUGUCAUGGUGCUAAUGAAGGAUUUCUACUGCGGUCCCUUGAACAUGGUCCAAAUCAUCAUCAUCUGGCAUACACCAUUCAGAUUUCUUGGUAUAGCUGUACCCAUCAACUGAAGUUAGGUCUCCAUUUUUUUCAGGAUGACAAAGACAUAUGUUUUUCUAGAUGCUUAUCCUGGAAGCUUUGAGAAAAGGCAAAGAAAAAAAAAAAAAGGUUGACUGUGAAAAUAAAAUGAUAAUGGUUGUGUGUAUAAGAAAGUCAUCUUAAUCUUACGUGUUUGCUUCUUAAAGCUCCCAGAGACACAAGAAGAGAAUGACCAUUUGGGUUAUUAUUUUUCAACAGAGAAAGUGUCGCAUCAGAAUUGUAGAUUAGCAGAGCUGGGAGAAAGGUUUAGAAUCAAGAUGUAUUUGAUUUUGUCACUCCUGGAAGGGAGUGACAAAUAGGCGAGAUUAAGUGACCUCGGUGGAAAAUGUUAAUCACUAGCAGCAGAUAUUUUUUGAAAUACAUCUUGAUUUAUUUUUCUUUCUCCUUUCUUCUUUCCCUACCUCUCUUUCUUCUUUCCUUAUCUUUUUUGACUCUUGUAUUUACCCCUUGAACUCUUCCUCUAUUAAUUCUACCUUAUAAUUUUAAACUGGAAGUAAUUUUUUUUUUUUUUGAGACGGAGUCUUGCUCUGUCACCAGGCUGGAGUGCAGUCUUGCAAUCUCGGCUCACUGCAACUUCCGCCUCCUGGGUUCAAGUGAUUCUUCUGCCUCAGCCUCCUGAGUAGCUUGGACCACAGGCGUGUGCCACCAUGCCUGGCUAAUUUUUUUGUAUUUUUAGUAGAGAUGGGGUUUCACCAUGUUGGCCAGGAUGGUCUCGAUCUCUUGACCUCGUGAUCUGCCUGCCUCAGCCUCCCAAAGUGCUGGGAUUACAGGCGUGAUCAACUGUGCCCAGCCUAACUGGAAGUAAUUUUUGUCAUCCAGGGCACAUUUAGAAAUAUCUGGAGACAUUUUCAGUUGUUACAACUGGAAAGUUUGCAACUGGCAU